UUCAAUAGGACAUUUUCGUAAAUGUUUUAGCUAAACAUUGUCUUAAAGGUUGCUGUGAUAUUUUAGUGAAUUAUUCUAAAUGUUUUCCGACAUAGUUUUCGAACCCAUCUAAAUGAUAACAAAAAUGCAGUCGUUUAGUAAAAUGACACUGGAGGUCUGAAGGUCAGGUUUUUUUUUUUUAGAGCAUAUUAGUUAACCUAGCUAGCUAGCUAAUUAGCUAACUCGUAGCUUCGCCCACCAACCUUUUCGAAUGAAAGACUUGUGAAGUCUUGCAACAUGAAUCAACACAAAUUGUCGCCAAAAAAACGUUUUAUGAAACCGAUUCUCUUUGGCACCUUAAUCGCAGGUCUUGCCACAGCAUUUUUCAACAGGCAUUUGUUCUUAAAAGACGUGGAAGAGAUUCGAGCUCAGGAACGUGCACGUUAUGAUGCCAAAAGGUUAGAGGUACUACAAAGAAGAGAGAAACAAAUAGAAAAGCUGACUGAGAAGAAACAAAAAGAGGACAAGUGAACUUAUGCACUUUCCGUGAAAUGAAUCAUCAACUUACCUUUGAGGAUAGCAGAAAUGCGCUUUCAGGUGACAAGAUGACCACUGAAAAUACCAGGGUGCCUGUCUUUAAUAUGCCUAUGUGUGUGUGAGAUUAAAUCAGUUUACAAUGUGAUAAAUCUGAGAAACACUUGGCACACACAAAGUUAUCAACACUUGCAAGGAGUCGGAAAGGACAUUAGUGUGUGUGUGGCAAGAACAUCUUCCACUACAUUCAAUAAAACUAUAAAACAAUAAAACUAUAUGGAACUAAGGGACUCAAUAUGAAAGUGAACCUAACUGAAAGUGAACCUAACUGUGCUGCGACAGUGUUGCGUGUGCCUGUUAUCAAGCCACAGACAAAUAUCUUUGAUAUUAAAUUGCCAAGAGGAUAAGUACAGUUUCCAGUAAAACAUUUUGUAUUUCACCUUUCAAGUUUAAUGCUUCAGCACAGUAUCUGCCAUAUGAGUUAUGUACAUGAUUGCAGUUCCCAAUUUUUUUUUUCAAAGUAACCUUUAAUGUUUUAAAUGAAUGUAUGAAAGAACCUAAAAUAUAUGUAAAUAUUAAACAAAAUAAAAAUACAAAUGAGGCAUUUGUAAAUUAAUGGACAUGUUUAUGGUAUUAAAAUUAAAGCUUUUCACUCUGAAAUGGUUCAUUGUAAAGGUUAUAUUUACUAUAUUGUUAUUUAUUUUUGGCUAACAUAAGAUUGCCCAUAAAUUGUUAUUGUAUUGCCAAUGUCGUCUUUAUUUUAAAAUGAACAUAUAUUAAACAAUUUCAUGUUGAA